UCUGGGCUGGCAAUCAUUAGAGACAGAAUUAGAAUAAGCCAAAUCAGUCUCCAAAAUCCAUGUCCCCAGCACCUGCCACAUGUCUCCAUGGUUGACGCUAUUUAAGGAGAGAAUGAACAAGAUGCUUGCCGAAUUGCAAGGUGGAGCAGCUCCCCAGGAUCCACGGAAAUCUAUUGACUAAGCCAAGUCUACAAUGUUAAUUCCUACAAAUGAAGUUACACCGUCAAAGUUCGUCUGCCCUUCCCAGAAGUGCAUCCCCAACAGUGCGCUUGCCACCGUCCUCACCUGUACAGUGUACUCCAGUCUUUGGAUAUGUCAAUCAAUUUGAGUUCUUCUUUUAUUGCACAGGGUCUUGCCCGUCCCAGCCUGGUUUUGAAUUCACUACGUAGCUGAAGAUGACCUCGAACCUCUCGUCAUCCUGCCUGCACCUCCAGUGAGUGCAGGGAUUACAGGAGCAUGCAUCCCCACACUCAGCCUGUGCUAAGGAUUGAAGGUGGCUCUGCAGGCUAGCCACGUGCUCCACCGAGAGAACCACAGCCCUGCUGGCCUCGGAUUCCUCACACCGCCACGUCACACCUGCUGUGCUGAGUGAUGUUCAAAACAUUCAUUAGUUUUAAAACAGUAAUGUGUCCGUUACAUGUUAACUAGAUAACACGUCUUAGGAGAAACAUCUGUGUCUUCCAAAACAAAAAGGCAACUUGAUGAGGAGAACACCACUGUCUUACAUCUCCGUGGCCCCCUUCAGUAACAAUAUCAAAACUUAGAAGGGCUGGGAGUUUGUGUGUAUUCCUGGAAUCCGUUUCUUACAUGCUAUAUUAGGUAAAUACAGAAAAGAAAAAGCUGGCUUUUCACAGGUGUAUGGCUGUAAUUGGAAAGGAAAACAUGUAUUUUUAAAACUGAAAAACUAAUAGGCGAGUUUGGAGUCCUCGCAGAACUCCCCGGGGAACAGGCACUUUCCGUCCGCCCUCUGCCCCGUGCAGGCAAAGCCUCACACGACAUGCUUUACAAGGUUGCAUGCCAUUCUUGUGCAGAGGCCAUGCUGACCUUCUCUGUCUUGUUCCGAGUGAAAAAAUAUCUUAUUACAUUUUUCAAAUAAUUAGGAACAUUCUUUGCUAGUGAGAGCCGUUUGAAAGUUAGCUGUAACAUGGAAUAUGGAAGCCAGUCAUUUAAAUGUGUCGUGCUCUUCCAUGAAAAUGGAUUGGUUUAAUCUCUGAGUGGAUCUUUUACCUAUUCAUGACUUUAUAGCAAUGUGCUGAUCAUUUGAAUAACUUUGCUUCUGAAUCAUACAGGGCUUCUAAAUCUUGACUUAUUUCAUUAUGUAACGAUAAAAAAGAAAAUCACAAGAGUAAAUGUCACCACUACUUUUACCAGAAAAAUCUUAACGUUUUAGAAGCUGCCAAGCUGGUGGAGGCACAAAUAAGCUUUCUAAAAUUCUAGUUUUCAUUUGACAGCUCAGACUUGAUCAUGGGCAAUAAAUCCUAGCAGUCACUGGGCUGGGGAUAUGGCUCAUUUGAUAGAAGGUUUCCCUUCAGUAACUAGAAUAAGGCGGACAUAACACAAAUUUUAAAAAGUCUUCUCUCACUAAAUAUUACUGCUUUACUGAACCAUCUAGGAUAAAAGCAAAUGAAUAACCAUAUGAUGUUUUAAUUCCAUAAUCCCCUAUAAUCUUGCGAACCAGGACUCUCAAUGUAUAAAUAACUAGAGACAAUUAUAAAACAAAAGAAGCUAAGUAAAAAACUGGUCUGGAAUAGAAAUUACUAUAAACUCAUGAGGAUUUUGCCUUUGGAAACUAUGAAUAAAAAUUUAGUAGCUAGGCAGUGGUGGUGCACCCCUUUGAUCCCAGCUCUAGAGAGGCAGAGGCAGGUAGAUCUCUGUGAGUUCAAGGCCAGUCUGGUCUAUAGAACAAGUUCCAGGACAGCCAAGACUGAAAACAAAAACAAAACAAAAACCUUUUUUUGAAAAAAGAAAAAGUUAGACAAAGAUGCUAAUUAACCUUAUUUACUGAAAGUGUCUAGAAACCAGCCUUCCAAUAGCAGUGAACUAACCUAGUUUCCAACAUGUGGUCUGGAAACAGGUCAUGAAAAUUCAGAGCAACUUAAAGAGAUCCAAGGUUCUGGGUCUGCAACAAGAAAUGCACAAUGCACCAAGAAUAUCCCAUAAUACCAUUUGCCUAGGAAAAAUAAUGUGACAUUUAAGAACACAAGAGCCAGCCAGGCAUGGUGGUGCAUGCUUGUAACCCCAGUGCUUGGGGAGGCAGAGGUAGGCGGAUCUCUGUGAGUUCAAGGCCAGCCUGAUCUACAAAUCGAGUCUAGGACAGCCAAGGCUCUACAGCGAAACCAAAAAAUAAAAAUAAAAAAAUAAAAAAAUAAAUAGAAGAGCCAACUAAAGAGGCUCAUAUUAUUAAGAGAGGAAAAUCUGAGCUUCAGAAAGAUAAUCAUAUUGAUGAUCAAAUGGAUUUAAACUCAUUAAUUCAUAAUCUUUUUUUAAAAAAAUAAGUAACUGGUUUAGGCACAGGUCUAAAACCCUAACUUUGGUAGAUGGAGGUAAAGAUGGAAAUUUCAAACCUGGCCCAUCUCAAAAUUAAUUAGUUAGUUAGUUAGUUAGUUAGUUAGUUAGUUAGUUAGUUUAAAAGGUAUAGAGUGCUUGUUUGACAAGUCCAAGGCCCUUCUCAGCAUUUCACCACCAACAACAAAAGCAAGUCAAACACAAAAGGCCACUGUGGGGUAAUUCCUCUCACAGAAGGCGUCAGAGUACGCAAAUGCACUAAAAGCAUUCAUCAAAAGAUUUCUAAGCCACUGAUUUGUAAGCAAAAUCAAUAAAGAUAGCCCUGCUACCUGUGCCUAGCCAAUGUUUUAGAUAUCCUAAUGAAGAUUAAAGUAACAAAUUAAAAAUUAAGUAAUAUAAAUCAGUGCAAAUGAUUUUUCUUUCCUUCUCCUCCUCCUUCUCCUCUUCCUCUCCUCUUCCUUCUCUCCUCCUCCUCUCCUUACUAUGUAGCUGAGGCCGGCCUAGAAAUUGCACUGCCCUGCCUCUAUGUCUUCAGCGCUGGAAUUACAGUCAGCAUGCACCACCACAGCUUGUUAAAGAUUUUAAAAUGAAAAACUCAAUAAAAAUUAUGAGUGUGGGGGGAGGGGUAGAAACUGGCCUCUCCAGUCUGUAUAUUUUUGUUUAUGUGUGCUGAAAAGUACUUUAAAAAUUAAACAAAAUUGUCAAUUAGAGUAUUUCAUAUGAGCAACCAAUUUUCUAGUUCAUUUUUAAUUAUUAGAAAAUAUGGUUCAGCGGAAUUACAUAUGACAUAGGAAAGGGGCAACGGAAGGAUCUUAGAAAGCACAUCUCAGAAUGUGUACCCCAGUUCCGUGACACACAGCUCUUCUCCAACUGUGCUGUUAUCACAACCACCAUAAAGUUACGUACGCGAAGAGAAGGGUGGAAGUCCAGAAGUGGGCAAACACGUGCCUGCACGAAAUAGAGGAAACAGAAGCCAGAGUAUGUGAGAACCUCAUGUACCACUAAGGUGGAAUUUCAGUUCCGGAGAGAAAGAUAAUUUAUUUACCAAAGUGGCAUAGCGAGCUAGCCAUCUGGGAGAAACGCACAUCACACACAAAAAUAAAUUCCAGAUGGAUUCCGCAUUAUACAUAACAAACAUGAAAUGAAACUCUUAGGAAAUUUAGGAGAGCAACCAACCUUGGGGUGAGAGAGGCAUUUUUAAAUAUGACAGAAAACUCAGACGCAAUAAAUGAAAAGGCAGACAUAUUUGACAACAUACAAUUUAACAUUUUUAUACAGCAAAAACAUCAGCCUGAGUCUGGAAAAAAAAAAAAAAACAGUUCUCUUGAAAAAUACUUGCAGCAUACCCAUUCCGUUAAGAAAUAUUUGUUUUAAAAUUUAAAAUUCAAUAGUUGCUACAGAUGCGAAGCUGAAUGGAAUGAAGAAUAUCCUUGCAUUCACAAUCUUACAUUCUAUGGCAGGUGAUCCAUUUGAGUGAUGACACAGAGUUCUUGCAAGUGAAAGAGAGCAAAGAGCAAAUGGAAACGCAGGAAAGUACAAAUGAGGGCUGCAGUUAACUGUACCGACAUGGACGGAUGCUUCCGGCAUUCUCAGGGAGAUGAAGCACGCCUCCUGCCUGCUCUGCCUGCAGUGACUUCCCGCUGGCAGCUUGCUUUUAGUGAUUGUGGGAAUAUUUACACCAAGGAAGUUAGCAAAUGUUACGGAUCCCAUUUUCAACGAUUGCACUGUUGGCUGUCUAAAAUUCAGAAAGAAAAUAUUAAAAUAUAUUUUCACCUUAAAGGUGUGGCCUGUCUACAGUCUCUGUGAAUAGGAGAAAAUAUUAAGCUGGUCUCUACCUCUGAAGAUUCCCCAAUUCAGGAAAUGCAUAGCUUCUAUCACUGAUGAAUGAGGAACAUCUCAUCAGGUAACUCUGGAGCUGAAAGAAAUAUCAGCUGGUGAAUAUAAUUGGUAUAAGCCAAUAAAAAAUAAAAUAAAAUAAAAUAAAAACAAGCUUCUGAAUACAUCAUGUUCCAAACUUGAUAACAUUAUGGGGUGGGGGAGGAUGGCUAGUGAAUUGGGUUGAAGUCCCACCUGCAGAAUCACGGUUGAGUUGCAACCUUAGAGCACAUGCUCCUAUAACUUCAGCAAAAAACACCCAAACCAUUCAACAAUAUUCAUGGGUCCCAUGAAAGUUUUCAAAAGUCCUGGAUGGGGCUGGAGAGAUGGCUCAGUGGUGAAGAGCACUGGCUGUUCUUCCAAAGGACCCCUGUUCAAUUCCCAGCACCACAUAGCAGCUCACAACUGUCUGUAACUCCAGUUCCAGGGGACCCAAUGCCCUCUGCUGGACCCUGAGAACACCAGAUAUGCAUGUGGUGCAAAGACAUAUACGCAGGCAAAACAGUCAGACACAUAAAAUAAAAGUAAAUAAAUCUUUUUUUUAAGACAGAAAAAAGUCCUGGGUCUUUUUUAUUUGUAAGUUGCGUAGUACUAUU